rnacentral:rRNA from 1 species
GCCAGUGACUAUAUCAUGCAGAAAUCUCCCGUUUUCGUCUAUCACCGAAGUUAAAUUACGCCGAGCCGGAUUAAUACUUACGUGGGAGUGCUUGGCGUUGCUGACC